CCCUGCAGUGACAGGUGACCCUGAUGUGUCCCUUCUGUCCCCAGCAGUGGCCUCAGGCCUUGGCGGGUCCCUCCUCUUCCUGGUCCUGCUCGUGGGUGGAGCUGUGGGCUGGCACCGGUGGAACAACAUGGCUGACAGGAAGCAGCAGGAAAGGGCCCCCCCGGAGCCCCCGGCCCCCCCAGAGGAGGGGGAGGUGCUGUACACCCACGUCGUGAGCACCAAGCAGACGGGGGCGUCCCCCUGUGCCACCACACUCCAGGAUCCCCAGGUGACCUACGCUGAGCUGCCAGCAGCCCAUGGGCGACCGCGGGAAUGUGGGGACAUCUACGGGAAUGUGCUGUGACACUUGGGGAACGGCGGAGUACUGGGGGCUCUGGGGGACCCCACCCUUGGGCAGCCACACUUUUGUGUCCCCCCAGUGCUCCCGUCGGUGCCCAGCAUUCAUGGGUGGGUGGGCACAAUAGGGGUCCUGUGUGAGGCUGCACAGGGCACCCAGAGCUCACCAAUGCCUCCACAACAACCAAGGGCCUUCCCCACCCCUCUCCCACUAUCAGCAUUGGUUCCCCAUUCCAUAUCCAAGUGCUCCCAGAACCCUUAGACACACCCCCAUUUCAUCUACACAGUUCUCCCAGUGCCCCCAAGGUUUUCCUAUUUCCCUUCCUAGUGCUUCUCCAUUGCUUCCAGUGCAUCCAAGCUGUUCCUAUUCUCUCUCCCAGUACCCCUGUACUCCCAGUGCCUCUGCAAUGCCCCUCUCAGCACUCCCAGUGCACCCACGGCUCCUCACCUCUCCUCCCAGUGCCCAGGGAACACAAGACUCGUUGCCCUCUUAUUGGCAUCCAAUGCAGCUUUUUCGUUCAAGUGGCAGGGAU